UACGAAGGGGGCUAGCGUUGCUCGGAAUCACUGGGCGUAAAGCGCACGUAGGCGGCUUUCUAAGUCAGGGGUGAAAUCCUGGAGCUCAACUCCAGAACUGCCUUUGAUACAGCACGUCUUGAGUCCGAUAGAGGUGGGUGGAAUUCCUAGUGUAGAGGUGAAAUUCGUAGAUAUUAGGAAGAACACCGGUGGCGAAGGCGGUUCUCUGGGACGGUACUGACGCUGAGACGCGAAAGCGUGGGGAGCGAACAGG
rnacentral:rRNA from 1 species